GUGCUCCAUUUGGCAGCACAUAUACUUAAAUUGGAAUGAUACAGAGAAGAUUAGCAUGGCCCCUGUGCAAGGAUGACACACAAAUUCGUAAAGCCUUCUAUUAUAUA
rnacentral:snRNA from 1 species